AAGAAGAUUCAGAAGAAAAAGGGAGGGGAGGAGGAAAAGUGGGCUAAGCUGACACAGGGUCUCGGCAUGAGUGACCCCAUGCCACGAGGCAAUAAUGCAAGGGUGUGCUGCAUCACUGCCUUCCCAUGUACGUGAAGCGGACACCACAGCACCAAAAGGGAAGCCCUCUAAGCCACUACACCCCGGGGGGUAUCGACCUGCACAACGCAUCUGAUGGGGAGAGCGAGGUGGAGUGGCCAACUUGCCACCCCGAAUCAUGGCGAUCAGGCAACAACAUGUGGUUUGCUUGCCUGAGAACCUUAGAAGGCAAGCUGAUCCUUGUUUGGCCCAUGGAAGGUUGGUUCUCUGUUAACUCGUUGUCGGAAAUGCGUCUCAUUGGCUUUUCACCAUUACUGUUCUCUUAUAUAUGUGCUCGUAAUAAAGACGACAUCCAAUCCAAUCAGCAGAGAUAUGAUGCAGCGGGUGAGGAAGUCAUGCUGCGCUCGAGAACUCAAGUUACUUUGAAGCAUCAAGUUAUGGAACUGCAAGCAACAUUUCAUCGAAUAGAAAGCGGCAACAUCUUAGUGUCAACACGAUAAAGUUGAUCGACCUAACCCGUUUUCAAAUGCUAUUAUGUCCGAAAACCAAAUGCCUCUUGAGAUGGUUGAGUUGAUUAUUCCUUCUCGUCCUAUCUUAAUGACGAUAGAUCAGCAUGAGCUAAAGGAUCAUGUCAAAUUAUAUCAUGUUUGAGAAUGCCCGUAAUGAGUUCGAAUGAUGAAUGUAAUUGUGAGUGUUUAAACGCGAAUACAUAUACUAUGGCAGGUUUUUCUUUUAAUAGUCAUAAGCUAAGCUGGUGUAUCAAUAAGGAAUAUCUC
rnacentral:lncRNA from 1 species